AUGCAGAGAGCUUCAGGACGGCGCCUGCUGCUGCAGGAAGGCGAUGGGGCCGGCGCCAGGAGGAGGCGCGGCGUCCGGCAUGCAGGCGAUGAACAGAGGAGGCGAAACCACGGAUGCAGGGAGCCGUGCGUGGCAAGGAGCGCUCGGGCGCUGCCCGAAUCUCGGGGAGCCUUGACCAGAGGAGGACGCAGGGCUGCCGGACCUGCAGCUAGGAGGAGGCGCGGCGUCCGGCAUGCAGGCGAUGAACAGAGGAGGCGAAACCACGGAUGCAGGGAGCCGUGCGUGGCAAGGAGCGCUCGGGCGCUGCCCGAAUCUCGGGGAGCCUUGACCAGAGGAGGACGCAGGGCUGCCGGACCUGCAGCUACUGCUGCCAGAGGCUCGAAGCUCCACGGCAGCGGCCAUGGCGAGCGGGAGGAGGAGCUGCAGGGGCGGCUGGAGAUAGAUGUGGUGGCGCCAUGGCUGCAACUGGGGCAGGGGCGAUGGGGAAUGGACGGAGGAGGUGGGCUCGCUAUUGGUGACGUGCUGGUGGUUCUCCGGCGACGAGGUGCGCCGGGGCGGCGCUGCUGCCAUCUGCAGGUGCUAGUCGUCGGCGGCGUCCGGCAGAGGAAGGGCUCGCUGGAGGCGCCGUUGGUGCAGAGCGGCGGCCUGCGGCGCCUGGCGGAGGAGGAGAAACUGCAGGGGCGCCGGGGCUUCAAGGCGAGGAGGAGGCCAUGGCAAGGUGGCGCGGCGGCGUGGUGGAUCAAGGGCCGGCGACAAGGCAAGGCGACGCAGGGAGCCUGCGAGGGAGGAGAGGGAGAAGAGCACAGGGAGAUGGGUGCAUCGAGAGAAUGGAGAUGGAGAUCGGGCAGCGCGUGCGAGGCUGGCGGCGGAAGGGAACGAGAAGGAGGGGAUCGGGAGAGAGUGAAACUGUCCUGUGGCGGCGCGAGGGAGAGCGAUGGGAUCGAGGGAACGGGCUCAGGAAGGCUAGGGUUAGGAAAGGAGACUGGGCCUUAG
rnacentral:rRNA from 1 species